GCCAUGGAUAGCUCAGUCGGUAAAGCAUGAGAUUCUUAAUCUCAGGGUCUUGGGUUCAUGCCCCACUUUGGGCG